rnacentral:rRNA from 1 species
AUUGAACGCUGGCGGCAGGCUUAACACAUGCAAGUCGAACGAGUGGCGGACGGGUGAGUAAUGCUUGGGAAUCUAGCUUAUGGAGGGGGAUAACUACGGGAAACUGUAGCUAAUACCGCGUACCAUAGGAUGAGCCCAAGUGGGAUUAGGUAGUUGGUGAGGUAAAGGCUCACCAAGCGGUCGAGCGCUAGCUGGUCUGAGAGGAUGACCAGCCAAUCUGGUAUGGACACACGGCGGUGACUCCUACGCGAGGCAGCAGUGGGGAAUAUUGCGCAAUGGAGGCAACCUGACGCAGCCAUGCAGAGUGAAUGAAGAAGGCCUUCGGGUUGUAAAGUGCUUUCGGUAGCGAGGCGUUAACUACAGAAGAAGCACCGGCUAACUCCGUGCCAGCAGCCGCGGUAAUAC